rnacentral:rRNA from 1 species
GACGAACCGUACAAACGUUAUUCGGAAUUACUGGGCUUAAAGGGUGCGUAGGCGGCGCGGUAAGUUGGGUGUGAAAUCCCUCGGCUCAACCGAGGAAUUGCGCUUGAUACUGCCGUGCUUGAGGGAGACAGAGGUGAGCGGAACUUAGGGUGGAGCGGUGAAAUGCGUUGAUAUCCUAAGGAACACCAGUGGCGAAAGCGGCUCACUGGGUCUCUUCUGACGCUGAGGCACGAAAGCUAGGGGAGCGAACGGGAUUAGAUACCCCGGUAGUCCUAGCUGUAAACGAUGAGCACUGGGUUGGAGGGUCCUCCAUAGCCUUCCAGCCGCAGCGAAAGUGUUAAGUGCUCCGCCUGGGGAGUAUGGUCGCAAGGCUGAA